GAAACUGGGGCUGAUGUUGGUGCAGCUGUCUGUACUGGUUCCACUGGUGGGAAUAUCAGUCCAGAGGGCUCUUCUGGUUCCUCUGGUUCUGGUUCCACCUCUGGUUCUUCAGGAACAUCUUCCACAACUGAGGAGAGAAAACAAAACCUGUUGAUCCUGAAUGUGAAUUUAAAUGUGCCUAAAAGUGUGACUUUUCUGAAAUGUAGAAUUUUAGUUAAACGUUUAUUAGACCAACAUUAAGGUUUAUUGAUCUUUAUCUAGAAAAUUAAUUACAAUAACAUCAACAGGUCUCAAGGAUUAACAAUGCUGGCAUCAGAAAAUUCUGUAUGAUUACUUUAACUCCUAUUAUUUACCGCUUGGUGAGUUGACAGUAUUGUAGAAUAUUACUGCACAUUUUGUUGUAGCUCAUACACAUCAUCUGCAUUUUCUUUUACAAGUGUUGACACUUUUUGAAAGUGUUUAAGCUCCAAAGACAUUUCCUUAAAUGCAAACCAGCGUGCUGUCAGUAGCUACGCUCUGGAGAUAACAUGUUGAGAUACAACUCUUCUCCAGCACCACAUAUUUUAUUCACCAAACUUUUCUUGCCUUUAUCAGGAUGGUGUCUGAGGGUGAGAACCAAAGGAUGUUUAGUUAACUGAUGGAUAUGUUGAGGUCAACUGUACAUCGACCUUGAAAGUAGUUAUGGUUAUCCAUAAAUAUGAAGACAUGGAAAAGAUUUAAGUAUACUGUUUUUACGGUGGAGAUUCAACCUUUUUUACUCACUUAAGAGGAAAGAUUGUAUUUUUGGUGAAGAAUAUUCUGAAAUGGUGGUUCUUGUAAUAUUUUGUAUUUAUGCUUUAAACAUUCUUACAUUUCUGUAUUCACUUGGAGCAGAUAUGGUAUUUUGUAAAAGGUAUUUUUAAAAAGAGGUAAAGUUGUUUUGUAUAUUGAGCAUCAAUAAUGAUCUAUAGACCUAGGCCACAUGAAAUCCAUUAGGUGGAGAGUUCUUCUUUUAAAAAGUAUUUAAUCAGUAACUCUUUCAGUUCUGUUAUACUUUAUUAUUACACUUUAUAUGUUAUUUUGGCCGACUGUACCUUCUGCAACUAUUUUUGGAUCAGACAAAAAUAAAACCCUCAAGCAGACAGUUACUUAGUUUAUAUUACAUCCACACUCUUGUGUCUGUCAGGCAGCCUUUAAAAGCAUUUUCUUGUUUGUUGUUUUAAAAUGUUUCUUUAUUUUUUUCUUGACGUACUAAGCAAUGCUGAAAUGGUGUCUUAUCAAAAUAAAAACAUUUCAAAGCGG